rnacentral:misc_RNA from 1 species
GAUCUUUCUGAGAAUCCAUUAGACAAUGUUGAAGUCUUACAGGAUCAACUGGAUUGUUUUCCAUACCUCUGCAGAUUUCAGUAUGAAACCAGUAGUUUGUGCAUCAUAAAGAUCAUGGAGCCCAUAUUGCGAACAUACACGGAAAGAGCUCGGCUUCAAGGUAGUGAUAACAGUGAACUUUCUGUUAUUGAAGCCAAACUUGCAUGGGUUGUUCAUAUUAUAG